GACGAACCGUGCGAACGUUGUUCGGAUUCACUGGGCUUAAAGGGCGCGUAGGCGGACUCUUAAGUCGGUGGUGAAAUCCUGGAGCUCAACUCCAGAACUGCCUUCGAUACUGAGAGUCUCGAGUCCGGGAGAGGUGAGUGGAACUGCGAGUGUAGAGGUGAAAUUCGUAGAUAUUCGCAAGAACACCAGUGGCGAAGGCGGCUCACUGGCCCGGUACUGACGCUGAGGUGCGAAAGCGUGGGGAGCAAACAGG
rnacentral:rRNA from 1 species